GAAAUCAUCAACCGAUUUCUGAACAUCGACAACAUUUAGAAAAUAUAUUCUAAACAAAGAAUGCCGCAUUAUGAAAGGACAAUCUAUACAAUCUGUAUUUGGAACAUAAUCAGAGUUACAUAUGUACUAAUUUAAUAUUACAAUUCGACUACUUAACACCACGACAUAUGAGAAGGAUAAUGACAUUUGAAUUGCAACGAUUAGCAAGUUCCCCUAGAUGGCGCGUGAAGGACGCGCGAAGGAAAGCGCGCCAUUAAAAGACGGACGGCCAUUAACAUCCGCAAAACGCUGUCAAUUGACCGUCCACAAAACAACUCUUUAACCUUUUCUUCGUGGACACCCCUCCCCGAGCUGUUCCCUUAUACCGGUGCUCCACAAUUCAAAAAUCGCGUGCGUUCUUUCACGCACGCUUUACUCACGGGGGUCCCCAAGCAAAAUGCACACGCGCGUUCCACAUCUCGUCUAACUCCGGUCUCUUCCAUUCAUUCGCGUUAUGUAUAGUGUACAGUGCCAUGAGAAAACAAGAACUCAGCAGGAUCCCUGAAUGCAACCACGAAAGCUGGAUACUCGGUCACAGUAAUACGACGUGUACGUGCUCACUGGCCGUGCUCGAGUACGUACUUGCAGCCUUUUCCUAGCUCGGUUUAAGACGGUAUUUCGAAGCGGACCGCGAGCUUCCAGUCCAUCAAGCAACUGAUCCUGCUGCUAUGUGAUUCCGUAUAAUGCUCCUUCCUAAGUGUUCCUUCGUCGAUCCUUUUCCAUCGAUCCCCCGAAUGCAUGUAUCGAUCAGCUAAAGAUAAAAAACGCUCGGGUGACUUCGUGGACCUAGAUAUGUAUUGUACUACAUAAAGAAUGCAAUCGGCCAGUGAAAAGCGAAGAAAAAAGGUGUAAAGCAAAAAAAG
rnacentral:misc_RNA from 1 species